GGUUGAAGGUUGGGUAACACUAACUGGAGGACCGAACCGACUAAUGUUGAAAAAUUAGCGGAUGACCUGUGGCUGGGGGUGAAAGGCCAAUCAAACCGGGAGAUAGCUGGUUCUCCCCGAAAGCUAUUUAGGUAGCGCCUCGUGAAUUCAUCUCCGGGGGUAGAGCACUGUUUCGGCUAGGGGGCCAUCCCGGCUUACCAACCCGAUGCAAACUGCGAAUACCGGAGAAUGUUAUCACGGGAGACACACGGCGGGUGCUAACGUCCGUCGUGAAGAGGGAAACAACCCAGACCGCCAGCUAAGGUCCCAAAGUCAUGGUUAAGUGGGAAACGAUGUGGGAAGGCCCAGACAGCCAGGAUGUUGGCUUAGAAGCAGCCAUCAUUUAAAGAAAGCGUAAUAGCUCACUGGUCGAGUCGGCCUGCGCGGAAGAUGUAACGGGGCUAAACCAUGCACCGAAGCUGCGGCAGCGACACUGUGUGUUGUUGGGUAGGGGAGCGUUCUGUAAGCCUGUGAAGGUGUGUCGUGAGGCAUGCUGGAGGUAUCAGAAGUGCGAAUGCUGACAUAAGUAACGAUAAAGCGGGUGAAAAGCCCGCUCGCCGGAAGACCAAGGGUUCCUGUCCAACGUUAAUCGGGGCAGGGUGAGUCGACCCCUAAGGCGAGGCCGAAAGGCGUAGUCGAUGGGAAACGGGUUAAUAUUCCCGUACUUGGUGUUACUGCGAAGGGGGGACGGAGAAGGCUAUGUUGGCCGGGCGACGGUUGUCCCGGUUUAAGCGUGUAGGUGUGUGUUCCAGGUAAAUCCGGUUCACUUUAACACUGAGGCGUGACGACGAGGCACUACGGUGCUGAAGCAACAAAUGCCCUGCUUCCAGGAAAAGCCUCUAAGCAUCAGGUAACAUCAAAUCGUACCCCAAACCGACACAGGUGGUCAGGUAGAGAAUACCAAGGCGCUUGAGAGAACUCGGGUGAAGGAACUAGGCAAAAUGGUGCCGUAACUUCGGGAGAAGGCACGCUGACACGUAGGUGAAGUGAUUUACUCAUGGAGCUGAAGUCAGUCGAAGAUACCAGCUGGCUGCAACUGUUUAUUAAAAACACAGCACUGUGCAAACACGAAAGUGGACGUAUACGGUGUGACGCCUGCCCGGUGCCGGAAGGUUAAUUGAUGGGGUCAGCGCAAGCGAAGCUCCUGAUCGAAGCCCCGGUAAACGGCGGCCGUAACUAUAACGGUCCUAAGGUAGCGAAAUUCCUUGUCGGGUAAGUUCCGACCUGCACGAAUGGCGUAAUGAUGGCCAGGCUGUCUCCACCCGAGACUCAGUGAAAUUGAACUCGCUGUGAAGAUGCAGUGUACCCGCGGCAAGACGGAAAGACCCCGUGAACCUUUACUAUAGCUUGACACUGAACAUUGAGCCUUGAUGUGUAGGAUAGGUGGGAGGCUUUGAAGUGUGGACGCCAGUCUGCAUGGAGCCGACCUUGAAAUACCACCCUUUAAUGUUUGAUGUUCUAACGUGGACCCGUUACCCGGGUUGCGGACAGUGUCUGGUGGGUAGUUUGACUGGGGCGGUCUCCUCCUAAAGAGUAACGGAGGAGCACGAAGGUUGGCUAAUCCUGGUCGGACAUCAGGAGGUUAGUGCAAUGGCAUAAGCCAGCUUGACUGCGAGCGUGACGGCGCGAGCAGGUGCGAAAGCAGGUCAUAGUGAUCCGGUGGUUCUGAAUGGAAGGGCCAUCGCUCAACGGAUAAAAGGUACUCCGGGGAUAACAGGCUGAUACCGCCCAAGAGUUCAUAUCGACGGCGGUGUUUGGCACCUCGAUGUCGGCUCAUCACAUCCUGGGGCUGAAGUAGGUCCCAAGGGUAUGGCUGUUCGCCAUUUAAAGUGGUACGCGAGCUGGGUUUAGAACGUCGUGAGACAGUUCGGUCCCUAUCUGCCGUGGGCGCUGGAGAACUGAGGGGGGCUGCUCCUAGUACGAGAGGACCGGAGUGGACGCAUCACUGGUGUUCGGGUUGUCAUGCCAAUGGCACUGCCCGGUAGCUAAAUGCGGAAGAGAUAAGUGCUGAAAGCAUCUAAGCACGAAACUUGCCCCGAGAUGAGUUCUCCCUGAGACUUAGAGUCUCCUGAAGGAACGUUGAAGACGACGACGUUGAUAGGCCGGGUGUGUAAGCG
rnacentral:rRNA from 1 species